AGUUCUGUGAUGAUGUAGGUGAGAGUGCGAUCGAUGCGAGGAAUGAUCACUGCAGGCACCCCCUACCUGUAAGGAGGCCAGCUCCACCAGCAGCUCCACAGCUCUGGCGUAGUUCCUCUUCAACCUUGAAAGCUGCUCUCCUCCUCUGGCCAAACCAGUCAGCUCAUAACCUGGAAGACACAGCUGCUCAAAAACUGGCAGGGUGACACCUAAAACAAAGAAAAACCGCCUGAACAAAUCAUCAUUACACCGUUUACAAAUCGUCCAAAAUGCUGCUGCUCGGCUCCUAACUCUAUCCAACAGAUGGUCACAUAUUACUCCAAUUUUAACCUUGUUGCAUCGGCUUCCUGUCAAUUUCACAAUUGAUUUUGAAUCUUGUUGCUCACUUCUAGAGCCCUACAUGGCCAGGCUCCACAUUAUAUAAGUGACCCUCUGUUCCCACACACUACAAGUCGAGCCCUUCGAUCCACCUCCCAGGUUUUUUUUAAGAGUUCCUGCGACACAUUUUAAGACUCUCGGAGAUCGUUCCUUCCAGUUUGCAGCCCCUCAGCUUUGAAAGAGUCUCCCAGCUAGUUUGAGAUCUCUGGACUCUGUGGGGUCUUUCAAAAAGCAGUUAAGACCUUCCUGUUCAGACAGGUUUUCAGGCAGCAUAUAGUGUUGUAUGUUUUAAUCCUGUUUUUAUCUGUUCUCACUGUAUAUUUUAU